GACGAACGCUGGCGGCGUGCUUAACACAUGCAAGUUGAACGGAAAGGCCCUGCUUUUGUGGGGUGCUCGAGUGGCGAACGGGUGAGUAACACGUGAGUAACCUGCCCUUGACUUUGGGAUAACUUCAGGAAACUGGGGCUAAUACCGGAUAGGAGCUCCUGCUGCAUGGUGGGGGUUGGAAAGUUUCGGCGGUUGGGGAUGGACUCGCGGCUUAUCAGCUUGUUGGUGGGGUAGUGGCUUACCAAGGCUUUGACGGGUAGCCGGCCUGAGAGGGUGACCGGCCAAAUUGGGACUGAGAUACGGCCCAGACUCCUACGGGAGGCAGCAGUGGGGAAUAUUGCACAAUGGGCGGAAGCCUGAUGCAGCAACGCCGCGUGCGGGAUGACGGCCUUCGGGUUGUAAACCGCUUUCGCCUGUGACGAAGCGUGAGUGACGGUAAUGGGUAAAGAAGCACCGGCUAACUACGUG
rnacentral:rRNA from 1 species